rnacentral:tRNA from 1 species
GGCAACUUGGCCGAGCGGUCUAAGGCGCCACGUUAAGGUGAACCCUUAAUACAAUCUCAAGAUUCCGUGGUCCGAAAGGGCGUGAGUUCGAAUCUCACAGUUGUCA